rnacentral:rRNA from 1 species
AAGACCUUGCGCUCUUUGAGCGGCCGAUGUCAGAUUAGCUAGUUGGUGAGGUAACGGCUUACCAAGGCGACGAUCUGUAGCGGGUCUGAGAGGAUGAUCCGCCACACUGGAACUGAGACACGGUCCAGACUCCUACGGGAGGCAGCAGUGGGGAAUUUUGGACAAUGGGCGCAAGCCUGAUCCAGCCAUGCCGCGUGAGUGAAGAAGGCCUUCGGGUUGUAAAGCUCUUUCGGCCGGGAAGAAAUCGCAUGGGUUAAUACCCUGUGUGGAUGACGGUACCGGAAUAAGAAGCACCGGCUAACUACGUG